rnacentral:rRNA from 1 species
GACGAACGCUGGCGGCGUGCCUAAUACAUGCCAGUUGAGCGCUGAAGGUUGGUACUUGUACCAACUGGAUGAGCAGCGAACGGGUGAGUAACGCGUGGGGAAUCUGCCUUUGAGCGGGGGACAACAUUUGGAAACGAAUGCUAAUACCGCAUAAAAACUUUAAACACAAGUUUUAAGUUUGAAAGAUGCAAUUGCAUCACUCAAAGAUGAUCCCGCGUUGUAUUAGCUAGUUGGUGAGGUAAAGGCUCACCAAGGCGAUGAUACAUAGCCGACCUGAGAGGGUGAUCGGCCACAUUGGGACUGAGACACGGCCCAAACUCCUACGGGAGGCAGCAGUAGGGAAUCUUCGGCAAUGGACGAAAGUCUGACCGAGCAACGCCGCGUGAGUGAAGAAGGUUUUCGGAUCGUAAAACUCUGUUGGUAGAGAAGAACGUUGGUGAGAGUGGAAAGCUCAUUAAGUGACGGUAACUACCCAGAAAGGGACGGCUAACUACGUG